UACGAAGGGGGCUAGCGUUGUUCGGAUUUACUGGGCGUAAAGCGCACGUAGGCGGAUCGAUCAGUCAGGGGUGAAAUCCCAGAGCUCAACUCUGGAACUGCCUUUGAUACUGUCGAUCUGGAGUAUGGAAGAGGUGAGUGGAAUUCCGAGUGUAGAGGUGAAAUUCGUAGAUAUUCGGAGGAACACCAGUGGCGAAGGCGGGUCUCUGGACAGUUCCUGACGCUGAGGCACGAAGGUCAGGGGAGCGAACGGG
rnacentral:rRNA from 1 species